UACGUAGGGGGCAAGCGUUGUCCGGAAUCAUUGGGCGUAAAGAGCGUGUAGGCGGCCCGAUAAGUCCGCUGUGAAAGUCCAGGGCUCAACCCUGGAAUGCCGGUGGAUACUGUCGGGCUCGAAUCCGGAAGAGGUGAGUGGAAUUCCCUGGUGUAGCGGUGAAUGCGCAGAUAUCAGGAGGAACACCAAUGGUGAAGGCAGCUCACUGGGACGGUAUUGACGCUGAGACGCGAAAGCGUGGGGAGCAAACAGG
rnacentral:rRNA from 1 species